rnacentral:rRNA from 1 species
UUAUUUGAGAGUUUGAUCCUGGCUCAGGAUGAACGCUGGCGGCGUGCCUAACACAUGCAAGUUGAGCGAUUUGCUUCGGUAAAGAGCGGCGGACGGGUGAGUAACGCGUGGGUAACCUACCCUGUACACACGGAUAACAUACCGAAAGGUAUGCUAAUACGGGAUAAUAUAUUUGAGAGGCAUCUCUUAAAUAUCAAAGG